GGUAACGUGGUUGAGUGGUAGAAUUCUUCCCUUCGGACUUAUGUCUACCUCUACGGAAGCGGUCCCAGGUUCGACCCCUGGCGUUGUCA